GACGAACGCUGGCGGCGUGCCUAAUACAUGCAAGUAGAACGCACAGUUUACACCGUAGCUUGCUCCACCAUAGACUGUGAGUUGCGAACGGGUGAGUAACGCGUAGGUAACCUGCCUGGUAGCGGGGGAUAACUAUUGGAAACGAUAGCUAAUACCGCAUAAUAUUAAUUAUUGCAUGAUAAUUAAUUGAAAGGUGCAAUUGCACCACUACCAGAUGGACCUGCGUUGUAUUAGCUAGUAGGUGAGGUAACGGCUCACCUAGGCGACGAUACAUAGCCGACCUGAGAGGGUGAUCGGCCACACUGGGACUGAGACACGGCCCAGACUCCUACGGGAGGCAGCAGUAGGGAAUCUUCGGCAAUGGACGAAAGUCUGACCGAGCAACGCCGCGUGAGUGAAGAAGGUUUUCGGAUCGUAAAGCUCUGUUGUAAGAGAAGAACGGGUGUGAGAGUGGAAAGUUCACACUGUGACGGUAUCUUACCAGAAAGGGACGGCUAACUACGUG
rnacentral:rRNA from 1 species